rnacentral:rRNA from 1 species
CCCAGACUCCUACGGGAGGCAGCAGUGAGGAAUAUUGGUCAAUGGGCGGGAGCCUGAACCAGCCAAGCCGCGUGAAGGAAGAAGGCGCCAGGCGUCGUAAACUUCUUUUGUCGGGGAACAAAGGGCGCCACGCGUGGCGUUGUGAGUGUACCCGAAGAAAAAGCAUCGGCUAACUCCGUGCCAGCAGCCGCGGUAAUACGGAGGAUGCGAGCGUUAUCCGGAUUUAUUGGGUUUAAAGGGUGCGUAGGCGGUCCGGAAAGUCAGCGGUCAAAUGCGGGGGCUCAACCUGCGUCCGCCGUUGAAACUGGCGUUCUUGAGUGGGCGAGAAGUACGCGGAAUGCGCGGUGUAGCGGUGAAAUGCUUAGAUAUCGCGCAGAACCCCGAUUGCGAAGGCAGCGUACCGGCGCCACACUGACGCUGAGGCACGAAAGCGUGGGUAUCGAACAGGAUUAGAUACCCUCGUACA